UACGUAGGGUGCGAGCGUUAAUCGGAAUUCCUGGGCGUAAAGCGUGCGCAGGUGGUCAUGCACGACAGAUGUGAAAUCCCCGGGCUUAACCUGGGAAUUGCAUUUGUGACUGCAUGGCUAGAGUGUGGCAGAGGGGGAUGGAAUUCCGCGUGUAGCAGUGAAAUGCGUAGAUAUGCGGAGGAACACCGAUGGCGAAGGCAGGCCCCUGGGCCUGCACUGACACUCAUGCACGAAAGAGUGGGGAGCAAACAGG
rnacentral:rRNA from 1 species